UUCCGGUUGAUCCCGCCGGACCCGACCGCUAUCGGGAUGAUACUAAGCCAUGGAAGUUGAACGUUCCCAGCCACGUGGGGACGUAGCGUACGGCUCAGUAGCACAUGGCUAAUCUACCCUUAGGAGGAGGAUAGCCCCGGGAAACUGGGGGUAAACCUUCAUAGACGAACAACCCUGGAACGGGUGUUCAUCCAAAAGGUGUGGAAGCAUGCUUUUACACCGCCUAAGGAUGAGGCUGUGUUCCAUCAGGUAGUUGGCGAGGUAACGGCUCGCCAAGCCGAUAACGGAUGCGGGCAGUGAGAGCUGAAGCCCGGAGAUGGGCACUGAGACAAGGGCCCAGGCCCUACGGGGCGCACCAGGCGAGAAACCUCAGCAAUGCGGGAAACCGUGACUGGGCCAUCCCGAGUGCCAGCCGCUAAGGUUGGCUUUUGCCCAGAGCAGUAAUCUGGGAGAAUAAGCGGGGGGCAAGACUGGUGUCAGCCGCCGCGGUAAAACCAGC
rnacentral:rRNA from 1 species